UGGGAAGUGCUGAGUAAAAAUAUCAGUCUGUAGGUGAGGAGGUGUCAAGGCAGAACGGGCCACAACUUUUCUCAUCUCCUGUCACAUUGCUAGGUGCUUUUUUUCCCCAACAUUCUCCAUUAAAAAAUAAAUAAAAGGCUUUAUGUGGCAAAUUUGAUCCAGAUAACUCUUGCAGAGUUCAGAUUGUCCAAAAUUUGAGGACGUUUCAAGUCCUGUUUGAACAGGACCUUUCCAGAACCUGUGAUCUUUCAGCCUCUUUGAGACCAGUUGCCUGAGAAGCCUGUGAGAUGCUUGCAGAAGAGACCUUUGCUGGAUGCACAUUUCUCAGCUCAAGACACCUUUCUUGUAAUACCAACAUUUGCAGAUAAUUGCCUGGGUGCAGAGAAGAGGCACGGUUCUUCUAGGGAACAAGAAGUCCGGUCUGUUGUAGAUGCUGAAAUUUGUGUCUCUCCACUGACUUGAAAAGGAGCUUAUGGCCACUCCCUUGGAAGAUACUAAUGUGUCUGUGGCCAUCUGCACCUUAUCAGGACAAGAAGGGGAUCAUGAAGGACCACCUCUUUCACAGUCAUACCUUAACAUCUGUUUAAAUCAGCUAUGAAACUGCUCAGGAAGCUGCAAAACUUCACAGUGUCAAUUUUUUACUGAGUUAGGCACCUCCAUCACAAAACUUUAAAGGGUUCACAUACUGAAAAAGAAACACCCUGCACUAACUUGUU
rnacentral:lncRNA from 1 species